UGAACGCUGGCGGUAGGCCUAACACAUGCAAGUCGAACGGCAGCACAGGAGAGCUUGCUCUCUAGGUGGCGAGUGGCGGACGGGUGAGGAAUACAUCGGAAUCUGCCCAGUCGUGGGGGAUAACGUAGGGAAACUUACGCUAAUACCGCAUACGACCUUCGGGUGAAAGAGGGGGAUCGCAAGACCUCUCGCGAUUGGAUGAGCCGAUGUCGGAUUAGCUAGUUAGCGGGGUAAUGGCCCACCAAGGCGACGAUCCGUAGCUGGUCUGAGAGGAUGAUCAGCCACACUGGAACUGAGACACGGUCCAGACUCCUACGGGAGGCAGCAGUGGGGAAUAUUGGACAAUGGGCGCAAGCCUGAUCCAGCCAUACCGCGUGGGUGAAGAAGGCCUUCGGGUUGUAAAGCCCUUUUGUUGGGAAAGAAAUCUUUCAGGCUAAUACCCUGGGAGGAUGACGGUACCCAAAGAAUAAGCACCGGCUAACUUCGUG
rnacentral:rRNA from 1 species